rnacentral:rRNA from 1 species
GCUCAAAUUUGAAAUCUCACAGGGCCACCUGUGCGAAUUGUAGUUUAGAGAAGCGUUUUCGGGGGCGACUUGGUUAUAAGUCCUCUGGAACGGGGCAUCAUAGAGGGUGAGAAUCCCGUUUAUGAUCCAAUGUUCGCUCCUAUGUGAUACGCUUUCCAAGAGUCAGGUAGUUUGGGAUUGCUGCCUAAAAUGGGUGGUAAAUACCAUCUAAAGCUAAAUAAUGGCGAGAGACCGAUAGCGAACAAGUACCGUGAGGGAAAGAUGAAAAGAACUUUGAAAAGAGAGUUAAACAGUACGUGAAAUUGCCAAAAGGGAAACGCUUGGAACCAGUAUUGCCUGCAGGUAAUCAGCCUCGCGGCCCGAAAGGGUUAGCGUGGUGCACUUGCCUGCAGGCAGGUCAACAUCAGUUUGGCUUGGGGUAAAAAGCCGGAGGAAGGUGGCUUGGGCUUCGGCCUGAGUGUUAUAGCCUCCGGUCAUGCCCUGGGCUGGACUGAGGUCUGCAGCGUUAUUUGGAUUCCCGAUCGCCUCUCGAACCUUGUCGACAGACAGCAUGCUGACUGUCGGCAAGGCUAGGGAGCCCGGUCGGUUUAUCACACCAGCGCUUAGGAUGUUGACGAAAUGGUUCCAAACGACCCGUCUUGAAACACGGACCAAGGAGUCUAACAUAUAUGCGAGUAUUUGGGUGGCAAACCCUUAUGCGCAAUGAAAGUGAACUUAGGUGGGAUCUNCGGUGCACAUCGACCGGUCUGGAUUUUUUGAAGAUCUGAGUAGAGCUAUCUGUGGGACCGAAGAUGUGACUAUGCCUGAAUAGGGUGAAGCCAGAGGAAACUCUGGUGGAGGCUCGUAGCGAUUCUGACGUGCAAAUCGAUCGUCAAAUUUGGGU